CGAUCACAUACGGUACAACGGUACGACAUGACCAUGCUGUCGUGCCCUGCGUUUUUUAAAGUACCACAGAAAACGGAAUACUGAAAGGAUUGAGAACUUCACGAGAGAUGUACUCACGAAGCGAGGUUGCAAGACAACAUUGAGCCAGUCACCACAUGAACCCACUCUUCUGCUAUCUCUCUCCCUCAUGUCUCUGAAGCUCCAAAAGUUGUCAGUCUCACUCUAGGUGUCUG